GACGAACGCUGGCGGCGUGCCUAACACAUGCAAGUCGAACGAGGUCCAUCCCGUGGCAACACGGGUGAAGACCUAGUGGCGAACGGGUGAGUAACACGUGAGGAACCUGCCCCGAAGACCGGGAUAACCCUCCGAAAGGAGAGCUAAUACCGGAUGUCCCCACCUGGCCGCAUGACCGGGUGAGGAAAUGGAUUCCGCUUCGGGAGGGCCUCGCGGCCUAUCAGCUAGUUGGGGGGGUAACGGCCCACCAAGGCAUCGACGGGUAGCUGGUCUGAGAGGACGAUCAGCCACACUGGGACUGAGACACGGCCCAGACUCCUACGGGAGGCAGCAGUGGGGAAUCUUGCGCAGUGGGCGAAAGCCUGACGCAGCAACGCCGCGUGGGGGAUGAAGGCUCUCGGGUUGUAAACCCCUUUCAGCAGGGACGAAUCAAGACGGUACCUGCAGAAGAAGCCCCGGCUAACUACGUGCCAGCAGCCGCCGCCGUAA
rnacentral:rRNA from 1 species